rnacentral:lncRNA from 1 species
UCCUGCGGCAAUGUACUCGGCUUCGGCGGUUGAAAGAGCGACCGAAUUUUGCUUCUUUGAAGCCCAAGACACCAAGGAUCUUCCCAAGAACUGGCAAGUCCCCGAUGUGCUCUUUCUGUUGAUUUUGCACCCUGCCCAAUCGGCAUCCGAAUAACCAAUCAAAUCAAAUGUGGAUCCCCGAGGGUACCAAAGCCCAAACUUAGGUGUAUAAGCCAAAUAUCUCAAGAUUCGUUUUACGGCCGUAAGGUGUGAUUCCUUAGGGUCGGAUUGGAAUCUUGCACACAUGCAAACGGAAAGCAUAAUGUCCGGUCGAGAUGCACAUAAAUAAAGCAAUGAACCAAUCAUCGACCGGUAUACCUUUUGAUCCACGGACUUACCUCCCGUGUCGAGGUCGAGAUGCCCAUUGGUUCCCAUGGGUGUCUUGAUGGGCUUGGCAUCCUUCAUCCCAAACUUGUUUAGAAUGUCUUGAGUGUACUUCGUUUGGCUAAUGAAUGUGCCCUCUUGGAGUUGCUUUACUUGGAAUCCUAAGAAAUACUUCAACUCCCCCAUCAUAGACAUCUCGAAUUUCUGUGUCAUGAUCCUACUAAAUUCCUCACAAGUAGAUUCGUUAGUAGACCCAAAUAUGAUAUCAUCAACAUAAAUUUGGCAUACAAACAAAUCAUUGUCAAGAGUUUUAGUGAAGAGUGUAGGAUCGGCCUUGCCAACUUUGAAGCCAUUAGCAAUAAGGAAAUCUCUAAGGCAUUCAUACCAUGCUCUUGGGGCUUGCUUGAGCCCAUAAAGCGCCUUAGAGAGCUUAUAGACAUGGUUAGGAUACUCACUGUCUUCAAAGCCGGGAGGUUGCUCAACAUAGACCUCUUCCUUGAUUGGUCCAUUGAGGAAAGCACUUUUCACGUCCAUUUGAUAAAGCUUAAAGCCAUGGUAAGUAGCAUAGGCUAAUAAUAUGCGAAUUGACUCAAGCCUAGCUACGGGUGCAUAGGUUUUACCGAAAUCCAAACCUUCGACUUGGGAGUAUCCUUUGGCCACAAGUCGAGCUUUGUUCCUUGUCACCACACCAUGCUCAUCUUGCUUGUUGCGGAAGACCCAUUUGGUUCCUACAACAUUUUGGUUAGGACGUGGAACUAAGUGCCAUACCUCGUUCCUUGUAAAAUUGUUGAGCUCCUCUUGCAUAGCCACCACCCAAUCCGAAUCUUGUAGUGCUUCCUCCACCCUGUGUGGCUCAAUAGAGGAAACAAACGAGUAAUGUUCACAAAAAUGUGCAACACGAGAUCGAGUGGUUACCCCCUUAUGAAUGUCGCCGAGAAUGGUGUCGACGGGGUGAUCUCGUUGGAUUGCUUGGUGGACUCUUGGGUGUGGCGGCCUUUGCUCUUCAUCCUCCUUGUCUUGAUCGUUUACAUCUCCCCCUUGAUCAUUGCCGUCAUCUUGAGGUGGCUCAUUUGCUUGAUCUUCUACUUCAUCAACUUGAGCUUCAUCCUCAUUUUGAGUCGGUGGAGAUGCUAGCGUGGAGGAGGAUGGUUGAUCUUGUGCAUGUGGAGGCUCUUCGGAUUCCUUAGGACACACAUCCCCAAUGGACAUGUUCCUUAGCGCUAUGCAUGGAGCCUGUUCUUCACCUAUCUCAUCAAGAUCAACUUGCUCUACUUGAGAGCCGUUAGUUUCGUCAAACACAACGUCACAAGAAACUUCAACAAGUCCCGAGGACUUGUUAAAGAUUCUAUAUGCCCUUGUGUUUGAGUCAUAACCAAGUAAAAAGCCUUCUACAGUUUUAGGAGCAAAUUUAGAUUUUCUACCUCUCUGAACAAGAAUAAAGCAUUUGCUACCAAAAACUCUAAAAUAAGAAAUAUUGGGCUUUUUACCGGUUAGGAGUUCAUAUGAUGUCUUCUUGAGGAUUCGGUGAAGAUAUAACCGGUUGAUGGUGUAGCAAGCGGUGUUGACCGCCUCGGCCCAAAACCGAUCCGAAGUCUUGUACUCAUCAAGCAUGGUCCUUGCCAUGUCCAAUAGAGUUCGAUUCUUCCUCUCCACUACUCCAUUUUGUUGUGGAGUGUAGGGAGAAGAGAACUCAUGCUUGAUGCCUUCCUCCUCAAGGAAGCCUUCAAUUUGAGAGUUCUUGAACUCCGUCCCAUUGUCGCUUCUAAUUUUCUUGAUCCUUAAGCCGAACUCAUUUUGAGCCCGUCUCAAGAAUCCCUUUAAGAUCUCUUGGGUUUGAGAUUUUUCCUGCAAAAAGAACACCCAAGUGAAGCGAGAAUAAUCAUCCACUAUUACAAGACAAUACUUACUCCCGCCGAUGCUUAUGUAAGCAAUCGGGCCGAAUAGAUCCAUGUGGAGUAGCUCAAGCGGCCUGUCGGUCGUCAUGAUGUUCUUGUGUGGAUGAUGGGUGCCAACUUGCUUCCCGGCUUGGCAUGCGCUACAAAUCCUGUCUUUCUCAAAAUGAACAUUUGUUAGUCCUAAAAUGUGUUCCCCCUUUAGAAGCUUAUGAAGAUUCUUCAUUCCAACAUGGGCUAGUCGGCGGUGCCAGAGCCAACCCAAGUUAGUCUUAGCAACCAAGCAAGUGUCGAGUUCAGCUCUAUCAAAAUCUACCAAGUAUAGCUGACCCUCUAACACUCCCUUAAAUGCUAUUGAAUCAUCACUUCUUCUAAAGACAGUAACACCUACAUCAGUAAAUAGACAGUUGUAGCCCAUUUGGCAUAAUUGAGAAACGGAAAGCAAAUUGUAAUCUAAUGAAUCAACAAGAAAACAUUGGAAAUGGAAUGGUCAGGUGAUAUAGCAAUUUUACCCAGUCCUUUGACCAAACCUUGAUUUCCAUCCCCGAAUGUGAUCGCUCUUUGGGGAUCUUGGUUUUUCUCAUAUGAGGAGAACAUCUUCUUCUCCCCUGUCAUGUGGUUUGUGCACCCGCUGUCGAGUAUCCAACUUGAGCCCCCAGAUGCAUAAACCUACAAAACAAUUUUAGUUCUUGACUUUAGGUACCCAAACGGUUUUGGGUCCUUUGGCAUUAGACACAAGAAGUUUGGGUACCCAAACACAAGUCUUAGAGCCCUUGUGUUUGCCCCCAACAAACUUGGCAACUACCUUGCCGGAUUUGUUAGUAAGCACAUAUGAAGCAUCAAAAGUUCUAAAUGAAAUAGCAUGAUCAUUUGAUGCAUUAGGAGUUUUCUUCUUAGGCAACUUAGCACGAGUUGGUUGCCUAGAGCUAGAUGUCUCACCCUUAUACAUAAAAGCAUGAUUAGGGCCAGAGUGAGACUUCCUAGAGUGAAUUCUCCUAAUUUUGCUCUCGGGAUAACCGGCAGGGUACAAAAUGUAACCCUCGUUAUCCUGAGGCAUGGGAGCCUUGCCCUUAACAAAAUUUGACAAUCUUUUAGGAGGGGCACUAAGUUUGACAUUGUCUCCCCCUUGGUAGCCAAUGCCAUCCUUAAUGCCAGGGCGUCUCCCAUUAUAAAGCAUGCUACGAGCAAAUUUAAAUUUCUCAUUUUCUAAGUUGUGCUCGGCAAUUUUAGCAUCUAGUUUUGCUAUAUGAUCAUUUUGUUGUUUAAUUAAAGCCAUAUGAUCAUGAAUAGCAUCAAUAUCAACAUUUCUACAUCUAGUACAAAUAGUGACAUGCUCAAUGGUAGAUGUAGAUGGUUUGCAAGAAUUAAGUUCAACAAUCUUAGCACGAAGUAUAUUAUUUUUAUCUCUAAGAUCGGCAAUUGUAACUUUGCAAACAUCAAAAUCUUUAGCCUUAGCAAUCAAAUUUUCAUUCUCUAAUCUAAGGCUAGCAAGAGAAAUGUUUAAUUCUUCAAUCUUAGCAAGCAAAUCAUCAUUAUUAUCUCUAGGAUUGGGAAUUGAAACAUUACAAACAUGAGAAUCAACCUUAGCAUUUAAACUAGCAUUUUCAUUUCUAAGGUUGUCAAUCAUCUCACGACAAGUGCUUAGCUCACUAGACAAUUUUUCACAUUUUUCAACUUGUAGAGCGUAAGCAUUUUUAACCUUAACAUGUUUUUUAUUUUCCUUGAUUAGAAAGUCCUCUUGGGAGUCCAAGAGAUCAUCCUUCUCAUGGAUGGCACUAAUUAGUUCAUUUAAUUUCUCCUUUUGUUCCAUGUUAAGGUUGGCAAAAAGAGUACGCAAAUUAUCUUCCUCACAACUAGCAUUAUCAUCACUGGAAGUCUCAUAUUUAGUGGAGGAGUUGGAUUUAACCUUCUUCUUUUUGCCGUCCUUUGCCAUGAGGCACUUGUGGCCGACGUUUGGGAAGAGGAGUCCCUUGGUAACGGCGAUGUUGGCGGCGUCCUCGUCGUCGGAGGAGUCGCUUGAGCUUUCGUCGGAGUCCCACUCAUGACAAACAUGGGCAUCACCGCCCUUCUUCUUGUAGUACCUCUUCUUCUCCUUUCGCCUCCCCUUCUUGUCGUCACCUCGGUCACUGUCACUAGAUAUAGGACAUUUAGCAAUAAAAUGACCGGGCUUACCACACUUGUAGCAAACCUUCUUGGAGCGGGACUUGUAAUCCUUCCCCCUCCUUUGCUUGAGGAUUUGGCGGAAGCUCUUGAUGACGAGCGCCAUUUCCUCAUUGUCGAGCUUGGAGGGGUCUAUUGGUUGUCGACUUGGUGUAGACUCCUCCUUCUUCUCCUCCGUUGCCUUGAAUGCAACGGGUUGAGCUUCAGAUGUGGUGGCAUCAUCAAGCUCGUUGAUCUUCCUCGAGCCUUCGAUCAUGCACUCAAAACUCACAAAAUUCCCGAUAACUUCCUCGGGGGUCAUUUUAGUAUAUCUAGGAUUACCACGGAUCAAUUGAACUUGAGUAGGGUUAAGGAAAAUAAGAGAUCUUAGAAUAACCUUAACCAUCUCGUGGUCAUCCCACUUUACGCUCCCGAGGUUGCGCACUUGAUUCACCAAGGUCUUGAGCCGGUUGUACAUGUGUUGUGGCUCCUCCCCUUUGCGAAGCCGGAACCGACCGAGCUCCCCAUCGAUCGUUUCCCGCUUGGUGAUCUUAGUGAGCUCGUCUCCCUCGUGCGCGGUUUUGAGCACAUCCCAAAUCUCCUUGGCGCUCUUCAACCCUUGUACUUUGUUAUACUCCUCUCUACUUAGAGAGGCGAGGAGUAUUGUUGUUGCUUGAGAGUUGAAGUGCUCGAUUUGGGCCACCUCAUCCUCAUCAUAGUUCUCAUCCCCUACCGACGGUACCUGUGCACCAAACUCAACAACAUCCCAUAUACCUUUGUGGAGCGAGGUUAGAUGAAAUCGCAUUAAAUCACUCCACCUAGCGUAAUCUUCACCAUCAAAAGUUGGUGGUUUGCCUAAUGGGACGGAAAGUAAAGGUGUAUGUUUGGAAAUGCGAGGGUAGUGUAGGGGGAUCUUACUAUACUUCUUGCGCUCUUGGCGCUUAGAAGUGACGGAGGGCGCAUCGGAGUCGGAGGUCGAUGUUGAUGAAGUGUCGGUCUCGUAGUAGACCACUUUCCUCAUCCUCUUGUGCUUGUCGCUUUUCCGAUGCGGCUUGUGGGAAGAAGAUUUUUCCUUCUUCUCUUUGUGGUGAGAAGAGGAAGACUUUUUCUCCUUCCGUUUGGAGGAGUCCUUCUUCUUCUCCUUCCUCUUGGUGCGGGACUCUUCCGAUGAAGUGCUCCCGUGGCUUGUAGUGGGCUCUUCGCCGGUCUCCAUCUCCUUCUUGGCGUGAUCUCCCGACAUCACUUCGAGCGGUUAGGCUCUAAUGAAGCACCGAGCUCUGAUACCAAUUGAAAGUUGCCUAGAGGGGGGGUGAAUAGGGCGAAACUGAAAUUCUCAAAAACAAUCACAACUACAAGCCGGGUUAGCGUUAGAAAUAUAAUCAAGUCCGCAAGAGGGGGAGCAAAACAAAUCUCAAGCAAAUGAGUGUGACACGCGGAUUUGUUUUACCGAGGUUCGGUUCUUGCAAACCUACUCCCCGUUGAGGAGGCCACAAAGGCCGGGUCUCUUUCAACCCUUCCCUCUCUCAAUCGGUCCCUCGGACCGAGUGAGCUUCUCUUCUCAAAUCACUUGGGAAUCAAACUUCCCGCAAGGGCCACCACACAAUUGGUGCCUCUUGCCUCAAUUACAAGUGAGUGUUUGAUCACAAGAAAGAAUCAAGAAAGAAGGAAGCAAUCCAAGCGCAAGAGCUCGAAAGAACACAAGCAAAUCUCUCUCUCUAGUCACUAAGGCGUUGUGUGGAAUUUGGAGAGGAUUUGAUCUCUUUGAUGUGUCUAGAAAUGAAUGCUAGAGCUCUUGUAGUAGUUGGGAAGUGGAAAACUUGGAUGCAAUGAAUGGUGGGGUGGUUGGGGUAUUUAUAGCCCCAACCACCAAAAGUGGUCGUUGGGAGGUUGUCUGCUCGAUGGCGCACCGGACAGUCCGGUGCACACCGGACAGUCCGGUGCCCCCUGCCACGUCAACAUUGCCGUUGGAUUCUGACCGUUGGAGCUUCUGACUUGUGGGCCCGCCUGGGUGUCCAGUGCACACCGGACAGGUACUGUUUGCUGUCCGGUGUGCCAGUAUGGGCGCGCCUGACUUCUGCGCGCUCAGAGCGCGCAUUAAAUGCGCGGCAGAGAGCCGUUGGCGCGGAGAUAGUCGUUGCACUGGAGUCGCACCGGACAGUCCGGUGCACACCGGACAGUCCGGUGAAUUAUAGCGGACUAUCCGUUGGAGUUUCCCGAAGCUGGCGAGUUCCUGAGACCGCUUUUCCAUGGCGCACCGGACACUGUCCGGUGUACACCGGACAGUCCGGUGAAUUAUAGCGCGAGUGCCUCUGGAAAUUCCCGAAGGUGGCGAGUUUGAGUCUGAGUCCCCCUGGUGCACCGGACAUGUCCGGUGGCACACCGGACAGUCCGGUGCGCCAGACCAGGGGUGCCUUCGGUUGCCCCUUUGCUCCUUUGUUGAAUCCAAAAUUUGAUCUUUUUAUUGGCUAAGUGUGAACCUUUGACACCUGUAUAACUUAUACACUAGAGCAAACUAGUUAGUCCAAAGAUUUGUGUUGGGCAAUUCAACCACCAAAAUUAUUUAGGAACUAGGUGUAAGCCUAAUUCCCUUUCAAGGGGCCUUCCGUUUCUCCUUGGCGAAGAUGGAAGCCUUAUGGCUUGUUAAGUUCUUGACUUCCCUCUUGAAGCCAAGACCAUCCUUAAUUGAGGGGUGUCUACCAAUCGUGUAGGCAUCCCUUGCAAAUUUUAGUUUGUCAAAUUCACUCUUGCUAGUCUUAAGUUGGGCAUUAAGACUAGCCACCUCAUCAUUCAAUUUAGAAAUAGAAACUUGGUGUUCACUACAGGCAUCAACAUUAAAAUCUUUACACCUAUUGCAAACUACAACAUGUUCUACACAAGAUGUUGAUUUAUUAGCUAUUUCUAAUUUAGCACUCAAAUCAUCAUUUAUUCUCUUUAAGCUAGAAAUAGAGUCAUGACAUGUAGACAAUUCACAAGAAAGCAUUUCAUUCCUCUUUAUUUCUAAAGCAAGGGAUUUUUGUGCCUCUACAAACUUGUCAUGUUCUUCAUACAAAAGUUCCUCUUGUUUUUCUAAUAACCUAUUUUUAUCAUUCAAGGCAUCAAUUAAUUCAUUAAUCUUAUCAACCUUAGUUCUAUCUAGGCCCUUGAAUAAACAUGAAUAGUCUAUUUCAUCAUCGCUAGAUUCUCCAUCACUUGAGGAAGCGUAAGUACUAGUAUCACAAGUGCUUACCUUCUUUAACCUUGCCAUGAGGCAGGUGUGAUGCUCGUUGGGGAAGAGGGCCGACUUGUUGAAGGCGGUGGCGGCGAGUCCUUCGUUGUCGGAGUCGGACGACGAACAAUCCGAGUCCCACUCCUUUCCAAGGUGUGCCUCGCCCUUAGCCUUCUUGUACGCCUUCUUCUUUUCCCUCUUGUUCCCUUGUUCCUGGUCACUAUCAUUAUCGGGACGGUUAGCGAUAAAAUGACCAAUCUUACCACAUUUGAAGCAUGAGCGCUUCCCCUUCGUCUUGGUCUUGUUGGGAUGCUCCUUGUGACCCCUUAACGUCGUCUUGAAACGCUUAAUGAUGAAGGCCAUCUCUUCCUCAUUAAGCCCGGCCGCCUCUACUUGUGCCACCUUGCUAGGUAGCGCCUCCUUGCUCCUCGUUGCUUUGAGAACAAUGGUUUGAGGCUCUUGGAUUGGGCCAUUCAACGCAUCGUCAACGUAUCUUGCCUCCUUGAUCAUCAUCCGCCCACUUACAAACUUUCCAAGUAUCUCCUCGGGCAUCAUCUUGGUGUACCUAGGAUUCUCACGAAUAUUGUUCACAAGAUGUGGAUCAAGGACAGUAAAAGACCUUAGCAUUAGGCGGACGACGUCGUGGUCCGUCCAUCGCGUGCUUCUAUAGCUCCUUAUUUUGUUGACGAGGGUCUUUGAUAGUCGCCUAGAGGGGGGGGUGAAUAGGGCGAAACUGAAAUUUACAAAUAUAAACACAACUACAAGCUGGGUUAGCGUUAGUAAUAAAGAAACGAGUCCGCGAGAGAGGCGCAAAACAAAUCCCAAGCGAAUAAGCAAGUGAGACACGGAGAUUUGUUUUACCGAGGUUCGGUUCUUGCAAACCUACUCCCCGUUGAGGAGGCCACAAAGGCCGGGUCUCUUUCAACCCUUCCCUCUCUCAAAUGAUCCACGGAUCGAGUGAGCUUUCUCUUCUCAAUCACUUGGAACACAAAGUUCCCACAAGGACCACCACAAGUUUGGUGUCUCUUGCCUCAAUUACAAGUGAGUUUGAUUGCAAAGAAAGGAUCAAGAAGGAAGAAAGCAAUCCAAGCGCAAGAGCUCGAAAGAACACAAGCAAAUCACUCUCCUAAUCACUAUGGCGUUGUGUGGAGUUUGGAGAGGAUUUGAUCUCUUUGGUGUGUCUAGAAUUGAAUGCUAGAGCUCUUGUAGUAGUUGGGAAGUGGAAAACUUGGAUGCAAUGAAUGGUGGGGUGGUUGGGGUAUUUAUAGCCCCAACCACCAAAAGUGGUCGUUGGGAGGCUGUCUGCGCGAUGGCGCACCGGACAGUCCGGUGCACACCGGACAGUCCGGUGCCUCCUGCCACGUCAUCACUGCCGUUGGAUUCUGACCGUUGGAGCUUCUGACUUGUGGGCCCGCCUGGGUGUCCGGUGCACACCGGACAAGUACUGUUUACUGUCCGGUGUGCCAGUAUGGGCGCGCCUGACUUCUGCGCGCGCUGUGCGCGCUUUUAAUGCGUCGCAGGUAGCCGUUGGCGCGGAGUUAGCCGUUGCACCGGAGUCGCACCGGACAGUCCGGUGCACACCGGACAGUCCGGUGAAUUAUAGCGGACUAGCCGUUGGAGUUUCCCGAAGCUGGCGAGUUCUUGAGGCCGCUCCUCCUUGGCGCACCGGACACUGUCCGGUGUACACCGGACAGUCCGGUGAAUUAUAGCGCGAGUGCCUCUGGAAAUUCCCGAAGGUGACGAGUUUGAGCUGGAGUCCUCUGGUGCACCGGACACUGUCCGGUGGUGCAUCGGACACUGUCCGGUGUACACCGGACAGUCCGGUGCUCCCAGACCAGAGGGCCUUCGGUUCCCACUUUGCUCCUUGUUGAAUCCAAAACUUGGUCUUUUUAUUGGCUGCGUGUGAACCUGUUACACCUGUAUGACUUAUACACUAGAGCAAACUAGUUAGUUCAAUUAUUUGUGUUGGGCAAUUCAACCACCAAAAUUAAUUAGGGACUAGGUGUAAGCCUAAUUCCCUUUCAAUCUCCCCCUUUUUGGUGAUUGAUGCCAACACAAACCAAAGCAAAUAUAGAAGUGCAUAAUUGAACUAGUUUGCAUAAUGUAAGUGUAAUGGUUGCUUGGAAUUGAGCCAAUAUAACUACUUACAAGAUAUGCAUGGAAUGUUUCUUUCUUUAUUUAACAUUUUGGACCACGCUUGCACCACAUGUUUUGUUUUUGCAAACUCUUUUGUAAAUCCUUUUCAAAGUUCUUUUGCAAAUAGUCAAAGGCAAAUAAAUAAGAUUUUGAGAAGCAUUUUCAAGAUUUGAAAUUUUCUCCCCCUGUUUCAAAUGCUUUUCCUUUGACUAAACAAAACUCCCCCUAAAUGAGAUCCUCCUCUUAGUGUUCAAGAGGGUUUUGAUGUAUCAUUUUCAAAUACUACUUUCUCCCCCUUUUGAACACGAUAGGAUACCAAUUGAAAAAAUAUUCAACACUGAGUUUUUGAAAUUUGAAAUAGGUGGUGGUGCGGUCCUUUUGCUUUGGGCUCAUUUCUCCCCCUUUUUGGCAUGAAUCGCCAAAAACGGAAUCAUUAGAGGCCUCGAAGUGCUAUCUUCCCCUUUGGUCAUAAAUAAAUGAGUUAAGAUUAUACCAAAGACGAAGUCCGGUCCUUUUGCUUUGGGUUCUUACUUUCUUCCCAAAGACAAAGUCCUUUUCUUGGUGCUCAUGCUUUCUCCCCCAAGAAUGGAGAGAACCUUGGAGCGACGACGAAGGAUGAGUUACGGAGUGGAAGCCUUUGUCUCCGCCGAAGACUCCAAUUCCCUUUCAAUACACCUAUGACUUGGUUUGAAAUAGACUUGAAAAAUACAUUAGUCAUAGCAUAUGAAAGAGAUAUGAACAAAGGUAUAUAAAUGAGCUAUGUGUGCAAGUUAACAAAAGAAAUUCCUAGAAUCAAGAAUAUUUAGCUCAUGCCUAAGUUUGUUAAAAGAUUGUUCAUCAAGAGGCUUGGUAAAGAUAUCGGCUAAUUGAUCUUUAGUAUUAAUGUAAGAAAUCUCGAUAUCUCCCUUUUGUUGGUGAUCCCUAAGAAAAUGAUACCGGAUGGCUAUGUGCUUAAUGCGGCUAUGCUCGACGGGAUUGUCGGCCAUUUUGAUUGCACUCUCAUUAUCACAUAGCAAAGGGACUUUGGUUAACUUGUAACCGUAGUCCCGCAGGGUUUGCCUCAUCCAAAGCAAUUGCGCGCAACAAUGGCCUGCGGCAAUGUACUCAGCUUCGGCGGUGGAAAGAGCGACCGAAUUUUGCUUCUUUGAAGCCCAAGACACCAAGGAUCUUCCCAAGAACUGGCAAGUCCCCGAUGUGCUCUUCCUAUUGAUUUUGCACCCCGCCCAAUCGGCAUCCGAAUAACCAAUUAAAGCAAAUGUGGAUCCCCUAGGAUACCAAAGCCCAAACUUAGGAGUAUAAGCCAAAUAUCUCAAGAUUCGUUUUACGACCGUAAGGUGGGAUUCCUUAGGGUCGGAUUGGAAUCUUGCACACACGCA